GAAGAGAACUGGAAAGUUCCACCGUAGAAGGUAAUAGUCCUGUAAGUGAAACGAGAAGACCACGAGUUAUGAUCCAGAGUACCACGAGACACGUGAAACCUUGUGGGAAGCAGGGAGGACCACCUCCCAAGGCUAAAUACUACCUGAUGACCGAUAGUGAAGCAGUACCGUGAGGGAAAGGUGAAAAGAACCCCGGGAGGGGAGUGAAAUAGAACCUGAAACCGUGUGCCUACAACCGCUCAGAGCCCCUUAUGAGGGUGAUGAGGUGCUUUUUGUAGAACGAGCCAACGAGUUACGGUAUGUAGCAAGGUUAAGUACUUAAGGUACGGAGCCGAAGGGAAACCGAGUCUGAAUAGGGCGACUAGUUGCAUGCCGUAGACCCGAAACCGGGUGACCUAUCCAUGGCCAGGUUGAAGCGAGGGUAAAACCUCGUGGAGGACCGAACCACGUUGCUGUUGAAAAAGCAUGGGAUGAGCUGUGGAUAGCGGAGAAAUUCCAAUCGAACCCGGAGAUAGCUGGUUCUCUCCGAAAUAGCUUUAGGGCUAGCGUCGAGUAUGAGUAGUGGAGGUAGAGCACUGAAUGGGCUAGGGGGCAUAGCGCUUACCGAACCUUAUCAAACUCCGAAUGCCACAUACUUUGAGCUCGGCAGUCAGACUACGAAUGAUAAGAUCCGUGGUCAAAAGGGAAACAGCCCAGAUCGUCAGCUAAGGUCCCAAAGUGUAAGUUAAGUGGGAAAGGAUGUGAGAUUUCUAAGACAACUAGGAUGUUGGCUUAGAAGCAGCCAUUCAUUAAAAGAGUGCGUAAUAGCUC
rnacentral:rRNA from 1 species